ACCUCUAGCAUUAUUAGUAUUAGAGGCACUGCCUGCCCAGUGAUAUAUUUUAACGGCCGCGGUAUCCUGACCGUGCAAAGGUAGCAUAAUCACUUGUUCUUUAAUUUAGGACUUGCAUGAAUGGCCACACGAGGGCUUAACUGUCUCUUAAUCUAAAUCAGUGAAAUUGACCUUCCCGUGAAGAGGCGGGAAUAUUAUAAUAAGACGAGAAGACCCUAUGGAGCUUCAGUUUAAAAACUAAAGAUAAAUAUUAAAAACCUACAGGUAUAAAAUUUAUCUAUCUAGUAAUAAACUUUGGUUGGGGUGACCUCGGAGAAAAAAAUAACCUCCGAAUGAUUUUAACCUAAGACUUACAAGUCAAAGUACAAUCAUUUAUUGACCCAGUAAAUAGUACUGAUCAACGGAACAAGUUACCCUAGGGAUAACAGCGCAAUUCUAUUCAAGAGUUCAUAUCGACAAUAGAGUUUACGACCUCGAUGUUGGAUCAGGACAUCCUAAUGGUGUAACAGCUAUUAAU
rnacentral:rRNA from 1 species